rnacentral:rRNA from 5 species
AGACCCGAAACCCGGUGAUCUAGCCAUGGGCAGGUUGAAGGUUGGGUAACACUAACUGGAGGACCGAACCGACUAAUGUUGAAAAAUUAGCGGAUGACCUGUGGCUGGGGGUGAAAGGCCAAUCAAACCGGGAGAUAGCUGGUUCUCCCCGAAAGCUAUUUAGGUAGCGCCUCGUGAAUUCAUCUCCGGGGGUAGAGCACUGUUUCGGCUAGGGGGCCAUCCCGGCUUACCAACCCGAUGCAAACUGCGAAUACCGGAGAAUGUUAUCACGGGAGACACACGGCGGGUGCUAACGUCCGUCGUGAAGAGGGAAACAACCCAGACCGCCAGCUAAGGUCCCAAAGUCAUGGUUAAGUGGGAAACGAUGUGGGAAGGCCCAGACAGCCAGGAUGUUGGCUUAGAAGCAGCCAUCAUUUAAAGAAAGCGUAAUAGCUCACUGGUCGAGUCGGCCUGCGCGGAAGAUGUAACGGGGCUAAACCAUGCACCGAAGCUGCGGCAGCGAACGUAUCACCCAAGACAACUUUACGGAGUUGACGAUUGACGGAGCGAAGCGACGUCAAAGCGUUCAUUAAAGUCGAGUUGGCUUAGGGAUACGUUCGUUGGGUAGGGGAGCGUUCUGUAAGCCUGUGAAGGUGUGUCGUGAGGCAUGCUGGAGGUAUCAGAAGUGCGAAUGCUGACAUAAGUAACGAUAAAGCGGGUGAAAAGCCCGCUCGCCGGAAGACCAAGGGUUCCUGUCCAACGUUAAUCGGGGCAGGGUGAGUCGACCCCUAAGGCGAGGCCGAAAGGCGUAGUCGAUGGGAAACGGGUUAAUAUUCCCGUACUUGGUGUUACUGCGAAGGGGGGACGGAGAAGGCUAUGUUGGCCGGGCGACGGUUGUCCCGGUUUAAGCGUGUAGGUGUGUGUUCCAGGUAAAUCCGGUUCACUUUAACACUGAGGCGUGACGACGAGGCACUACGGUGCUGAAGCAACAAAUGCCCUG